GACAGAGGUGCCGAGCGUUUAGGCGGAAUCACUGGGCUUAAAGCGUGUGUAGGCGGAUCGUUAAGUACCUUGUGAAAUCCCCCGGCUCAACCGGGGAACUGCUGGGUAUACUGGCGAUCUUGAGCGAUCUAGGGGCAGAUGGAACAAGUGGUGGAGCGGUGAAAUGCGUAGAUAUCACUUGGAACGCCAAAGGUGAAAACAGUCUGCUGGGGAUCUGCUGACGCUGAGACACGAAAGCCAGGGGAGCGAACGGG
rnacentral:rRNA from 1 species